AGAUCUUGCUGCACUGCUCAAAGACCUUCUUGGAGCUCGUCAGGAAGCCGUUUAAUAUGUUUUGAAAUUGGAAAAGAAGAAUUUCGUAAUAUUUAAGCUGCUGUGAAAAACUUGAAAUAAAUACAAUGCAUACAUCAUUUUGCAUUAAUGUUAAACCAAUCUGAAAUAUAAAUAAAAGAAAUCAGUGGUUCACGAGGAACUGUUUACCAGAUUCUGUAGAUCAAGGACUGUGCUAUUUAGUAUUUAUAAAUUAAAACUUAAUUAUGUGUAUUUUAUAACUUCUGACAAAUAAAGUUUUUUCUCAUUCUA